rnacentral:lncRNA from 1 species
GUUUUAUUGGAAGUUUAUCAAAAAAAGUCUUAAAUCAUCGUUAAGAAAGGCACAUCAGACUUCAGUCCCUUUUCUUUUUUGCUUUAGGUUCUUGCGACAGUUCCGGCAAUUCACUUUCUUCAACUUCACAAUGCUUUCUUUUCUUUUUCUUUGACUUUUUAAGGUCACUUUGGUAACCACUAGAGUCACUGGCAGGCAAUACAAGUUCCUGUUCUUCCUGUUUAUGUUUUUUCUUUUUCUUCUUCUUUUUAUCAUCACAUACUUCAUUCACAGCAUCAAUGCUUUGCUCUUCUGUAUUUCCCCCCACAGUGUUAUCUGCCUCACCUGGAGGAUCUUCUGUGACACUAUCUCCCCCAGAGUAAUUUAAGCCAUUUUUCUCACUAUGAAAGUCUUGAAUUUGCUCUCCAUUUGUGCCAUCAGUCACUGCAUCAGUAAGAGGAUCAGACUGCUCAGGCUGCAUACUGCAAGAAAACAUAUGAGGUUUGUGUGAAAACAAGGAAGCUUAAGGAGUAAGAUGUUGAAUCAAAUGGUUCACCUCAUAACUAAUCCAUU